GCCCCGUUGGUGGAAUAGGCAGACACGCCUGGUUUAGGCCCAGGUCAUUGGGGGUUCGACUCCCUCACGGGGUA
rnacentral:tRNA from 1 species